GGUCAACUUAUGCGACAAGGAUCAUUUGGCUCUGUGUAUGAAGCCAUCUCAGAAGAUGGGGACUUCUUUGCUGUCAAGGAAGUUUCACUUCUUAAUCAGGGAAGUCAGGCACAAGAAUGCAUACAACAAGUUGAAGAGGAGAUUGCACUACUUAG